AGAGAGGUUGGUCUGUCUCCAGACAUGCUGGAGCAGCUGCAGAGUGCCCACUGGAGCUCCCAGCUGGGACUGUAGCUACCACUGCGUGGGCAGGCAGAAGGUGCUGCCCUCCCACCCUCCAGCAAUCCCAUUUUGCUCUGUCCCAUCCACUCUCAGGCAUCAGAACGACCGUGCAAAGCUGCGGGGAGAGUUUCUGCGGGCAAGGCAGGGUCUCCAACCUUUGAGCACCUGCACGGAGCCUACCCAGCUGCAAGCUGUAAGCCUCUGCCAGUUCCUAAAGGCAAAUUUCAGCUGUGCUGAAAGCAAAACUCCCAAUGACCACAAACAAGCAGGAGGACAGCUGAGGCCUUUAUGAUACAAGCGCAAUAAUCAAGCCCCAGUUCACAAGAUACUGAGUGCUCCUGUUAUAGAGAUAAGCUGUGAUGAAAAACCGACGUGUUAAGACCCUCACCCAAAUAAUGAACCACCUUCCCAAUACAUGGGUUGCAGGUUUGGGGUACAUGGCCUGACCACUGUGUGCUCAGAAGCAGAUCCCACAAGGAUCGUAGCCUCUGUUGAACAUUCUCCACUCCCAUGAACUCAGCAAAUUUGAAUUGCAGUGCCUCGCCAGCUUAUAUCCAGUAUCUUCCUCUUGCUGUUCUUGUAGCCAAAGCCAGAGCUCCAGCCAUUCCCACUGGUGUGGGAGCGAGCUGAUAAUCAGUAAACAACGUCCUAGAGUUCAAACCAACACCAAGAGAACGGGCUUCCGAAGUGCAGAACAACCUUUGAUUGCUUUCUGGUGGUGGGAGAGGUCAGAGAGGAGCUCCUUACUCCGCUCGUAGCAAUCCCUUUCCAGCUGUGACAUUCUGGCAUGUUUGCAGAGGGUUAUUGAUGAGAAAACCAUGUCUUUUAUGGGACGGGGUGACUGACUAAGGCCUGUUCAACACUGUGAAAGUGUUAGUAACACUUAAUAAGAUGACUAAGCAGACUGCUCCAGGGCUUUUGUAAUUUAUUUGUUAUUAUUUGUUGCUCAGAGUGUGCUGAGGACUGUUAGUCCUGGAAUGAAACUCCCGUUCAGCCUGCAGAAAACGUGCACGAGUAGAGAGACUAGCCAGAGAGCAUGUGCAUUGUAGUGCUGUAAGAAUUAGGACGUGUGUGUCUUAGCUGGCAUUAUUAGACUAUCUUGGGUUUGCUAUUACUGUUCAUUAAAAAAUGAUUUCAGCUUUGCAAAAGCCUUGUGAUCUCUUUGAGGUGAGAGUGGACAAGGAGAAGAUUCAGCAGGGGUGACUCAGGCUGUUGUCACCCGCAGUCAUCCUGUGACCUUUCCUGGCUCACCCUCCUCUUCCCCAGCCUUGUGGAAAGGCCUUCUGUGGAACAUGCUCUGUGUCACAGCUCGGGAGAGAGGCCCUCAGCCUGGGGGAGAGGAAAGAAAAACUGUGAGGUGGUGGCAAUGCCUUGCCCUUUACCUCCCCUACCCCCGGUGAAGGCCCCUGGCUUGGGACAGCUAUAUGCCUUUACAGUGUAAUCUGUAAUCAGAGAUCAUAAUUAAAAACUGA